rnacentral:rRNA from 1 species
CCUACGGGAGGCAGCAGUGGGGAAUAUUGCACAAUGGGCGAAACCCUGAUCCAGCAACGCCGCGUGAGUGAGGAAGUAUCUCUGUAUUUUAAGCUCCAUCAGUAGGGAAUUGAAAAGAAGGUACCUGAAAAAGAAGCCCCGGCUAACUACGUGCCAGCAGCCGCGGUAAUAGGCAGGGGGCAAGCGUUAUCCGGAUUUACUGGGUGUAAAGGGAGCGUAGACGGAAAGGCAAGUCAGAGGUGAAAGCCCAAGGCUCAACCAUGGGACUGCUUUUGAAACUGUCAAACUAGAGUACGGGAGAGGUAAGAGGAAUUCGUGGUGUAGCGGUGAAAUGCGUAGAUAUUAGGAAGAACACCAGUGGCGAAGGCAUCUUACUGGACCGAAACUGACGUUGAGGCUCGAAAGCGUGGGGAGCAAACAGGAUUAGAUACCCCAGUAGUC